rnacentral:snRNA from 1 species
AUACCUUUCUCGGCCUUUUGGCUAAGAUUAAGUGUAGUAUAUAUUCUUAUCAGUUUAAUAUCUGACUAGCGAAAGGGGUCGUGCGUUGCAACGGGAGAAAAAAAUACCACACGCUUUUAAUCUUUUUAUAAU